AUCAAUAAGCGGAGGAAAAGAAACCAACAGGGAUUGCCCUAGUAACGGCGAGUGAAGCGGCAACAGCUCAAAUUUGAAAUCUGGCGUCUUUGGCGUCCGAGUUGUAAUUUGCAGAGGGCGCUUUGGCAUUGGCAGCGGUCCAAGUUCCUUGGAACAGGACGUCACAGAGGGUGAGAAUCCCGUACGUGGUCGCUAGCCUUUACCGUGUAAAGCCCCUUCGACGAGUCGAGUUGUUUGGGAAUGCAGCUCUAAAUGGGAGGUAAAUUUCUUCUAAAGCUAAAUACUGGCCAGAGACCGAUAGCGCACAAGUAGAGUGAUCGAAAGAUGAAAAGCACUUUGGAAAGAGAGUUAAAAAGCACGUGAAAUUGUUGAAAGGGAAGCGCUUGCAGCCAGACUUGCCUGUAGUUGCUCAUCCGGGUUUUUACCCGGUGCACUCUUCUACGGGCAGGCCAGCAUCAGUUUGGGCGGUUGGAUAAAGGUCUCUGUCAUGUACCUCCUCUCGGGGAGAACUUAUAGGGGAGACGACAUGCAACCAGCCCGGACUGAGGUCCGCGCAUCUGCUAGGAUGCUGGCGUAAUGGCUGUAAGCGGCCCGUCUUGAAACACGGACCAAGGAGUCUAACAUCUAUGCGAGUGUUUGGGUGUCAAGCCCGAGCGCGUAAUGAAAGUGAACGGAGGUGGGAACCUUUCGGGGUGCACCAUCGACCGAUCCUGAUGUCUUCGGAUGGAUUUGAGUAAGAGCAUAGCUGUUGGGACCCGAAAGAUGGUGAACUAUGCUUGAAUAGGGUGAAGCCAGAGGAAACUCUGGUGGAGGCUCGCAGCGGUUCUGACGUGCAAAUCGAUCGUCAAAUUUGGGCAUAGGGGCGAAAGACUAAUCGAACUAUCUAGUAGCUGGUUCCUGCCGA
rnacentral:rRNA from 1 species